rnacentral:rRNA from 1 species
GCAUAUCAAUAAGCGGAGGAAAAGAAACCAACAGGGAUUGCCCCAGUAACGGCGAGUGAAGCGGCAACAGCUCAAAUUUGAAAUCUGGCCCCAGGCCCGAGUUGUAAUUUGCAGAGGAUGCUUUUGGCGCGGUGCCUUCCGAGUUCCCUGGAACGGGACGCCAUAGAGGGUGAGAGCCCCGUACGGUUGGACACCAAGCCUUUGUAAAGCUCCUUCGACGAGUCGAGUAGUUUGGGAAUGCUGCUCUAAAUGGGAGGUACAUUUCUUCUAAAGCUAAAUAUUGGCCAGAGACCGAUAGCGCACAAGUAGAGUGAUCGAAAGAUGAAAAGCACUUUGAAAAGAGGGUUAAACAGCACGUGAAAUUGUUAAAAGGGAAGCGCUUGUGACCAGACUUGCGUCCGGUGAAUCACCCAGCUCUCGCGGCUGGGGCACUUCGCCGGCACAGGCCAGCAUCAGCUUGCCGUCGGGGACAAAAGCUUCAGGAACGUGGCUCCUCUCGGGGAGUGUUAUAGCCUGUUGCAUAAUACCCUUCGGCGGGCUGAGGUACG